UAUAGUUUCAUAAGACUGAAUAUUACUGUUUGUUAAAAUUACUUUUCAAUGUAUCUUUUUAAAGUGAAAUAUGUAUUUUUACAACUUACUUGUGAAUUCUUUUUAUAGAAUUUUCAGAUUCUGAGAUGUCAGAAGUGUAGCAUGCUCUUUUCCAUUUUCUGGAAAUGUUGUCAAAUGAUGCUGAAAUUAUCAAAAAUUCUGGCCUGAUGCUUGGUCCAACCCUUAUCUGGCUGUGGUGCCUCCAUCAACCUGACGCUCUUUAGUAACCGGUCCAAGUCUUUGUAUGGAGGCCACCAUGAGUGGCCAUCUGAGUACCAGGACUUUGCUACAGGACCGGUACUCCCUUCUCCGACGAACUCCACUAUCAGGUACAUGUUCUUUUUGUUGUUGUUUAGUUUAUUUUAGCUGGAACAACCUAAAGCCCCAUAAAGUGUAACGAUUCUUAUUACAUUUCAGUUGUUCAUAUGCAUGAUUCAGUUACCCAAAAUAAAAGUAGCAAGUCCAAAAAAAAAAAAACAAAU